UACGUAUGGUGCAAGCGUUAUCCGGAAUUACUGGGUGUAAAGGGAGCGUAGACGGCGAAGUAAGCCUGAAGUGGAAGCCCGCGGCCCAACCGCGGAACUGCUUUGGGAACUGCUUAGCUGGAGUAUGGGAGGGGUAAGCGGAAUUCCUGGUGUAGCGGUGAAAUGCGUAGAUAUCAGGAGGAACACCGGUGGCGAAGGCGGCUUACUGGACCAUGACUGACGUUGAGGCUCGAAAGCGUGGGGAGCGAACAGG
rnacentral:rRNA from 1 species